GACGAACGCUGGCGGCGUGCCUAACACAUGCAAGUCGAACGGGGCCCAUCUGGUGGCAACACCAGUGAAGGCCCAGUGGCGAACGGGUGCGUAACACGUGAGCAACCCACCCCGAAGACCGGGAUAACACCGGGAAACCGGUGCUAAUACCGGAUGCCGUCACCGGAUCGCAUGGUCUGGUGACGAAAGGAUUCCGCUUCGGGACGGGCUCGCGGCCUAUCAGCUCGUUGGUGGGGUAACGGCCUACCAAGGCUUCGACGGGUAGCUGGUCUGAGAGGACGAUCAGCCACACUGGGACUGAGACACGGCCCAGACUCCUACGGGAGGCAGCAGUGGGGAAUCUUGCGCAAUGGGCGAAAGCCUGACGCAGCAACGCCGCGUGCGGGAAGACGGCCUUAGGGUUGUAAACCGCUUUCAGCAGGGACGAAGAUGACGGUACCUGCAGAAGAAGCUCCGGCUAACUACGUGCCAGCAGCCGCCGUAAUAC
rnacentral:rRNA from 1 species